rnacentral:rRNA from 1 species
GACGAACGCUGGCUGCGUGCCUAAUACAUGCAAGUAGAACGCUGAAGAGAGGAGCUUGCUCUUCUUGGAUGAGUUGCGAACGGGUGAGUAACGCGUAGGUAACCUGCCUUGUAGCGGGGGAUAACUAUUGGAAACGAUAGCUAAUACCGCAUAACAAUGGAUGACACAUGUCAUUUAUUUGAAAGGGGCAAUUGCUCCACUACAAGAUGGACCUGCGUUGUAUUAGCUAGUAGGUGAGGUAAUGGCUCACCUAGGCGACGAUACAUAGCCGACCUGAGAGGGUGAUCGGCCACACUGGGACUGAGACACGGCCCAGACUCCUACGGGAGGCAGCAGUAGGGAAUCUUCGGCAAUGGGGGCAACCCUGACCGAGCAACGCCGCGUGAGUGAAGAAGGUUUUCGGAUCGUAAAGCUCUGUUGUAAGUCAAGAACGGGUGUGAGAGUGGAAAGUUCACACUGUGACGGUAGCUUACCAGAAAGGGACGGCUAACUACGUGCCAGCAGCCGCGGUAAUACGUAGGUCCCGAGCGUUGUCCGGAUUUAUUGGGCGUAAAGCGAGCGCAGGCGGUUUGAUAAGUCUGAAGUUAAAGGCUGUGGCUCAACCAUAGUUCGCUUUGGAAACUGUCAAACUUGAGUGCAGAAGGGGAGAGUGGAAUUCCAUGUGUAGCGGUGAAAUGCGUAGAUAUAUGGAGGAACACCGGUGGCGAAAGCGGCUCUCUGGUCUGUAACUGACGCUGAGGCUCGAAAGCGUGGGGAGCGAACAGGAUUAGAUACCCUGGUAGUCCACGCCGUAAACGAUGAGUGCUAGGUGUUGGAUCCUUUCCGGGAUUCAGUGCCGCAGCUAACGCAUUAAGCACUCCGCCUGGGGAGUACGACCGCAAGGUUGAAACUCAAAGGAAUUGACGGGGGCCCGCACAAGCGGUGGAGCAUGUGGUUUAAUUCGAAGCAACGCGAAGAACCUUACCAGGUCUUGACAUCCCGAUGCUAUUUCUAGAGAUAGAAAGUUACUUCGGUACAUCGGUGACAGGUGGUGCAUGGUUGUCGUCAGCUCGUGUCGUGAGAUGUUGGGUUAAGUCCCGCAACGAGCGCAACCCCUAUUGUUAGUUGCCAUCAUUCAGUUGGGCACUCUAGCGAGACUGCCGGUAAUAAACCGGAGGAAGGUGGGGAUGACGUCAAAUCAUCAUGCCCCUUAUGACCUGGGCUACACACGUGCUACAAUGGUUGGUACAACGAGUUGCGAGUCGGUGACGGCGAGCUAAUCUCUUAAAGCCAAUCUCAGUUCGGAUUGUAGGCUGCAACUCGCCUACAUGAAGUCGGAAUCGCUAGUAAUCGCGGAUCAGCACGCCGCGGUGAAUACGUUCCCGGGCCU